rnacentral:tRNA from 1 species
CCGGCAGAUAGCGUGCGAAGGCGGGCUGCCCGGCGUUCUCGAGGAAAGCCUGAUCGCCCAGCACCACGGCGAUCCUGUCGCUCUGGCGGGCC